GCCAGUGUUCUCAGUGGUUAGAGUGUUGGCCUGUGCACCAAAGGGUCAUGGGUUCAAUUCCCAGUCAAGGGCA
rnacentral:tRNA from 1 species